CCCUGACUAUAUGUUUAAGAAGCUCAAGUCUCUUAUCACUUAAAUCAAUUCAUUGUCGGUAAGUCCAAACCUGAUAUGCUGCCACAAAGAAUCAAACAUGUCGCAAUGAAGAAACAAAUGAGAUGCUGAUUCGCCAUGCCCACAACCCGCCACGCAAAAAAUUGCCUCAACUGAGAUAAUGCCACGGUUCAAAAGAUUGUCU
rnacentral:lncRNA from 1 species